UGCCCAAGUGCCAGCGCGGCCCCGGGGCCCUCCUCGGGGCGGUCCGGCUGCUGGCGGCCGUGCCUGGACUCUGCCAGCGCCCGGAAAACAGAUGUGCUACUUCAAAUGCAGUAACAUGUACAAAGUGUCUUGCUCUGGGUCCAGAGUGUGGAUGGUGUGCUCAGGAGGAUUUCAUGGCUGACUCAACACAGAAGGGACGCUGUGACACUGUUUUCAACUUAUUGAAAAGAGGCUGCCAAUCGGAUUUUGUAGAAAGUCCCACAGUUCAUGUUACAAUACCCAGUGACCAAGAAACAAAUACACAAGUGACUCCAGGAAGAGUUUCAGUCCAACUGCGUCCAGGAAGUGAAGCAAGCUUUAUAUUAAAAGUUCAUCCUCUGGAGAAGUACCCUGUGGAUCUUUACUAUUUAGUUGAUGUCUCAGCUUCUAUGCACAACAACAUAGAAAAACUAAAUUCUGUUGGAUUUGCUUUAUCUAAGAAGAUGGAGAAUAUUUCUCUUGAUUUUCGACUUGGAUUUGGAUCCUAUGUGGAUAAAACAGUGUCACCCUAUAUUAGCAUUCACCCAGGUAGAAUCCAUAACCAAUGCAGUGAUUAUAAUUUAGAUUGUAUGCCACCUCAUGGUUAUAUUCACGUGCUAUCCCUGACUGACAACAUAGCAGAAUUCAGAAAUGCAGUGAAUAAACAAAAAAUUUCUGGGAAUAUUGAUACACCUGAAGGGGGUUUUGAUGCAAUGCUCCAAGCAGCUGUGUGCCAGAGCCACAUUGGAUGGCGCAAAGAAGCCAAGCGACUACUUCUAGUGAUGACAGACCAAACUUCCCAUCUAGCCCUAGACAGUAAAUUAGCAGGGAUUGUGAUUCCCCACGAUGGAAACUGCCAUUUGAAAGAUAAUGUUUACGUCAAAGCUACGAGUAUGGAGCAUCCAUCUCUUGGUCAGCUCUCUGAAAAAUUGAUUGACAAUAACAUCAAUGUCAUUUUUGCAGUUCAAGGAAGCCAGUUCCAUUGGUAUAAAGAUUUGUUACCUCUGUUGCCUGGUACUGUUGCGAGACAGAUAGAAUCACAAGCAGCAAAUCUCAAUGAUUUGGUGGUAGAAGCUUAUCAGAAACUAAUCUCUGAAGUGAAAAUUCAAGUGGAUAACCAGAUCCAGGAUCUUAAUUUCAAUAUCACUGCAAUCUGUCCUGAUGGAAGCAAAAAAACUGGCAUGGAAGGAUGUAAAAACGUUGGAUAUAAUGAAGAAGUUCUUUUCAAUGUAUCAGUCACAAUGAAAGGAUGUGAUACAACUGGGGGAAGAAAAUAUGCAAUACUUAAGCCUAUUGGUUUCAAUGAAACCACCAUUAUUAAUGUACAGAAAAGCUGUGCCUGUCAGAAUGGAGACAACGCAAAGCCCAAGAGAGUGUGGACUGAUGAAACCUUUCCUGAUGUCAAACAGCCCCAUUGCAGUGACAGCAGUUGCAGCUACAGCAGAGAGAUGUUUCCUUCUGAAGAGUGCAGGCAGCACAAGGACCAGCCCAUCUGCAGUGGCCAAGGAGAUUGCAUAGAGGGAAAAUGUUUCUGCUACAAGAACAAGCUAGGCAGGGUGUAUGGCAAAUACUGUCAAAUGGAUGAUUUUUCUUGCCCAUAUCACCAGGGAAGCUUAUGUUCUGGUAAUGGUGAAUGUGAAGCUGGUAAAUGUAAAUGCUUUGCUGAUUGGGAAGGUGACCGUUGCCAGUGUUCAUUACAAUCAGCAAAGCAGUGCCUGAAUUCAAAGGGCCAGAUUUGCAGUGGAAGAGGAAAUUGUGUAUGUGGAAAAUGUGAGUGCACUGACCCAAGAAGCUUUGGCCGUUUGUGUGAAUACUGCCCUGCUUGUAACAAAGCCUGUGAAGAAAACUGGAAUUGUGUUCAAUGCCAUCAUUCUAACAAUGCAUCUCAAGCUAAACUUGACCAGUGUAAAACCUCAUGUGCUUACCUAUUGCAUUAUGUUGACCAAACUUCAGAAUGUUUCUCUGGACGAAGCUACUUUAGAGUGUUUUCCAUAAUCUUUAUAGUUACGUUUCUGAUUGGGUUGCUUGUUGUACUUAUCAUCAGGCAGAUAAUUCUGCAGGGAAAUAGCAAUAAAGUUAAAUCUUCAGCUGAUUACAGAGUCUCUGCGACAAAGAAGGAAAAGAUGUUUUUGCCUACUGUUUGUACAAGAACAGUAACAUACAGACGUGACAAACCAGAGGAAAUAAAUAUCGACAUCAGCAAGUUGCGGUUAAAUGAAACUUUCAAGUGUGAAUUCUGAAGACAGUGUGUUUUCUGCAAAUGUCUAUUUCCAUCAUUCUCUACUUUUUAGAAGUUACCACUCUGUCAGAAUCUCGACUGUUGCUGUUUGUCAUGCGUUUUGUUGGAUACUGUAACAACGUGACAUAUACCAUUGACCAGAAAAAGGCUUGCUGCUCAAGCUCUCCAAAGAGGAAUGAAACCUAAGUUACAGCCUCUAAAGCCGGAGGAGG